AACUUUUGACAAUGGAUCACUUGGCUCUCGCAUCGAUGAAGAACGCAGCGAAAGGCGAUAAGGAAUGUGAAUUGCAGAAUUCAGUGAAUCAUCGAAUCUUUGAACGCACCUUGCGCUCCUUGGUAUUCCGAGGAGCAUGCCUGUUUGAGUGUCAUUAAAUUCUCAACCUUUAUCAGCUUUUGCUCAUAAUGGCUUGGAUAUGGGGGUCUAUUUUGCUGGCUUCUUUACGGAUGGUCAGCUCCCCUUAAAUGCAUUAGCCGGUGCCCCGCGUGGACUGUCUAUUGGUGUGAUAAUUAUCUACGCCGUGGACAUCUGCAAUCAUAUGGGUUUGCACUGCUUCCAACCGUCUGUUCAAUCAGACAAUACAUGACAAUUUGACCUCAAAUCAGGUAGGACUACCCGCUGAACUUAAGCAUAUCAAUAAGCGGAGGCU
rnacentral:misc_RNA from 1 species